GUGUCAGCCGCCGCGGUAAUACAGAGGGUGCGAGCGUUAAUCGGAUUUACUGGGCGUAAAGCGUGCGUAGGUGGUCUUUUAAGUCGGAUGUGAAAUCCCUGAGCUUAACUUAGGAAUUGCAUUCGAUACUGGGAGACUAGAGUAUGGGAGAGGAUGGUAGAAUUCCAGGUGUAGCGGUGAAAUGCGUAGAGAUCUGGAGGAAUACCGAUGGCGAAGGCAGCCAUCUGGCCUAAUACUGACACUGAGGUGCGAAAGCAUGGGGAGCAAACAGGAUUAGAAACCCCUGUAGUCCAUUAGAUACCCGCGUAGUCC
rnacentral:rRNA from 1 species